CAGGGAUUCAUUCUCCAGAUACAUUGAGAAUAGGAUCUGGGGAAAGUCAUUAUGCAGUCACAUUGAGGAUAGUAAGACAUUCAGUCUCAGGAUUCUCCAGCCAUGCUGAGGAGAGGCAGCAGGGUCUGCCCAUUCAGCAUAAGGUGAUUCUGAGUUCGCUCACUUUAUUCUGGUGACUUUCCUGUGGUUCAGGUCUUAUUGAUCCUCUGAAAUGUGUUUUAUAAUCAGUAUGUCACAACUGCUUUGUACAAGUGAUGAUGAUGAUGAAAGUAAUGAUGAACAGAUGUGAACAACUCUUCUUUAUGGAUCAUGAUCAUGGAUCUUCUUCCUGAACUGCUGUUAUUCCUAGUAAAGCAAUGAGAAAUAAGACAUUGUCCAAAGGAACCACUAGUCAACUUUGCUGUUUAGUUUCGGAUUAUUAGAAAUUUGGAGGAAAACAUGCUCAUUUUUGCAUAUACUUUAAUGAGGAGCAACAAAACACCUGGAAAUGGCUAGCUAAGGAAGAUAGCCACAUGGAUGUAUGCAAUAGGCUUCAGUGACAAGC
rnacentral:lncRNA from 1 species